rnacentral:rRNA from 1 species
CACGAAAUAAGACGAGCUAAUUAACUGUAAAUGUUAGUUUCAGGGAUGUAGCAAAAUUAUGUCAAACUUUUAAUUAGGGGUGAUAGGCUUAUCAAGUCUUAUUAUAACUUGUUGUUUACGAAAUGUAUUUAGUACGUCGACAGCUAAGGAGUGCAAAGAUUCUUUAGAAUUAUUAAGACUGGGUUGGCGUUGAUGUUAAGUUUUAAUUAACAGACAGUAUAAUAGCAGAACAUUAUUUUUAUCAAAUUUAUUAAUAAUAGUAAACUAUAUAUAAUAUGAUGCAAUAUAAAUAAUGUUAUUAUAAGUAGCUUAAAAAUAAAUAUUUUUCAUGAACUCGGCAACAUUUUCCCCAACUGUUUAUCAAAAACAUAGCUAGUAGUAUCAAUUAUUAGUAUUUUCUGCUCAAUGAACAUUAAAUGGCCGCAGUACCCUGACUGUGCUAAGGUAGCAUAAUCAAUUGGCUUGUAAUUUAAGUCUUGUAUGAAUGAAAGCAUGAGGGAAACACUGUAUUAAAAGUAUAUUGUUAAAUUACUUUGUAAGUGAAAAUACUUACAGUAAAUUAUAAGACGAGAAGACCCUAGAAAUUUUUAACACUUUGUAACGAUGGUUUUUGUUGGGGCAACAUUGUAACAUAUAACUUACAUCAAGUACAAGAAACUUAAUUGUUAGAUUAAAUUACUCUAGGGAUAACAGCGUAAUGUAUCAACGCUUGCGACCUCGAUGUUGGAUUAGGAAAUAUAAGCUUAGAA